ACUCCUGCGGGAGGCAGCAGUGGGGAAUAUUGCACAAUGGGCGGAAGCCUGAUGCAGCAACGCCGCGUGCGGGAUGACGGCCUUCGGGUUGUAAACCGCUUUCGCCUGUGACGAAGCGUGAGUGACGGUAAUGGGUAAAGAAGCACCGGCUAACUACGUGCCAGCAGCCGCGGUGAUACGUAGGGUGCGAGCGUUGUCCGGAUUUAUUGGGCGUAAAGGGCUCGUAGGUGGUUGAUCGCGUCGGAAGUGUAAUCUUGGGGCUUAACCCUGAGCGUGCUUGCGAUACGGGUUGACUUGAGGAAGGUAGGGGAGAAUGGAAUUCCUGGUGGAGCGGUGGAAUGCGCAGAUAUCAGGAGGAACACCAGUGGCGAAGGCGGUUCUCUGGGCCUUUCCUGACGCUGAGGAGCGAAAGCGUGGGGAGCGAACAGGCUUAGAUACCCCAGUAGUCCCA
rnacentral:rRNA from 1 species